rnacentral:rRNA from 1 species
UGGGGAAUAUUGGACAAUGGGGGGAACCCUGAUCCAGCCAUGCCGCGUGUGUGAAGAAGGCCUUAUGGUUGUAAAGCACUUUAAGCGAGGAGGAGGGUACUGGUAUUAAUACUACCAGGUACUGGACGUUACUCGCAGAAUAAGCACCGGCUAACUCUGUGCCAGCAGCCGCGGUAAUACAGAGGGUGCGAGCGUUAAUCGGAUUUACUGGGCGUAAAGCGUGCGUAGGCGGCUAAUUGAGUCGGAUGUGAAAUCCCCGAGCUUAACUUGGGAAGUGCAUUCGAUACUGGUUAGGUAGAGUGUGGGAGAGGAUGGUAGAAUUCCAGGUGUAGCGGUGAAAUGCGUAGAGAUCUGGAGGAAUACCGAUGGCGAAGGCAGCCAUCUGGCCUAACACUGACGCUGAGGUACGAAAGCAUGGGGAGCAAACAGG